rnacentral:rRNA from 1 species
AGAGUUUGAUCCUGGCUCAGAUUGAACGCUGGCGGCAUGCCUUACACAUGCAAGUCGAACGGCAGCACGGACUUCGGUCUGGUGGCGAGUGGCGAACGGGUGAGUAAUACAUCGGAACGUGCCUAGUAGUGGGGGAUAACUACUCGAAAGAGUGGCUAAUACCGCAUGAGAUCUACGGAUGAAAGCAGGGGAUCGCAAGACCUUGUGCUACUAGAGCGGCCGAUGGCAGAUUAGGUAGUUGGUGGGAUAAAAGCUUACCAAGCCGACGAUCUGUAGCUGGUCUGAGAGGACGAUCAGCCACACUGGGACUGAGACACGGCCCAGACUCCUACGGGAGGCAGCAGUGGGGAAUUUUGGACAAUGGGCGCAAGCCUGAUCCAGCAAUGCCGCGUGCAGGAUGAAGGCCUUCGGGUUGUAAACUGCUUUUGUACGGAACGAAAAGCUUUGGGUUAAUACCCUGGAGUCAUGACGGUACCGUAAGAAUAAGCACCGGCUAACUACGUGCCAGCAGCCGCGGUAAUACGUAGGGUGCAAGCGUUAAUCGGAAUUACUGGGCGUAAAGCGUGCGCAGGCGGUUUUGUAAGACAGUGGUGAAAUCCCCGGGCUCAACCUGGGAACUGCCAUUGUGACUGCAAGGCUAGAGUACGGCAGAGGGGGAUGGAAUUCCGCGUGUAGCAGUGAAAUGCGUAGAUAUGCGGAGGAACACCGAUGGCGAAGGCAAUCCCCUGGGCCUGUACUGACGCUCAUGCACGAAAGCGUGGGGAGCAAACAGGAUUAGACACCCUGGUAGUCCACGCCCUAAACGA